rnacentral:rRNA from 1 species
UACAGAGGGUGCAAGCGUUAAUCGGAAUUACUGGGCGUAAAGCGUGCGUAGACGGUUGCGUAAGUCAGAUGUGAAAGCCCCGGGCUCAACCUGGGAAUUGCAUUUGAAACUGCGUAGCUAGGGUGCGGAAGAGGGAAGCGGAAUUUCCGGUGUAGCGGUGAAAUGCGUAGAUAUCGGAAGGAACACCAGUGGCGAAAGCGGCUUCCUGGUCCAGCACCGACGUUCAGGCACGAAAGCGUGGGGAGCAAACAGG